rnacentral:sRNA from 1 species
GUCGGCGUGACAUCUCCCCCAAGUGAAGCGCCGAUGAAGGUACCAAGGGAUGGUGUGCCUUUGUUUUACUCCUAAUGGUCUUAACCCGGAUUCACCCCCCAGAACCCGGGUUUUUUUU